UUACGGCCAUUUCAUGCUGAAACACCUAUUCUCGUACGAUCACCGAAGUUAACCAACGUCAAGCCUGGUCAGUACGUAGAUGUGUAACCGCUUGGGAAUACCAUGUGCUGCAAU